rnacentral:snoRNA from 1 species
UGAAAUGAAGAAAAUUUUACAACCCGAACCAUCAUGUGGGCCUUUGCCAUUUUUGGUAGAGGGACGUAAUUCUGAUUUA